UACGGGGGGGGCAAGCGUUGUUCGGAAUUACUGGGCGUAAAGGGCUCGUAGGCGGCCAACUAAGUCAGACGUGAAAUCCCUGGGCUCAACCCAGGAACUGCGUCCGAUACUGGCAGGCUUGAAUCCGGGAGAGGGAUGUGGAAUUCCAGGUGUAGCGGUGAAAUGCGUAGAUAUCUGGAGGAACACCGGUGGCGAAGGCGGCAUCCUGGACCGGUAUUGACGCUGAGGCGCGAAAGCCAGGGGAGCAAACGGG
rnacentral:rRNA from 1 species